GACGAACGCUGGCGGCGUGCUUAACACAUGCAAGUCGAACGGAAAGGCCCUGCUUUUGUGGGGUGCUCGAGUGGCGAACGGGGGAGUAACACGUGAGUAACCUGCCCUUGACUUUGGGAUAACUUCAGGAAACUGGGGCUAAUACCGGAUAGGAGCUCCUGCUGCAUGGUGGGGGUUGGAUAGUUUCGGCGGUUGGGGAUGGACUCGCGGCUUAUCAGCUUGUUGGUGGGGUAGUGGCUUACCAAGGCUUUGACGGGUAGCCGGCCUGAGAGGGUGACCGGCCACAUUGGGACUGAGAUACGGCCCAGACUACUACGGGAGGCAGCAGUGGGGAAUAUUGCACAAUGGGCGGAAGCCUGAUGCAGCAACGCCGCGUGCGGGAUGACGGCCUUCGGUUUGUAAACCGCUUUCGCCUGUGACGAAGCGUGAGUGACGGUAAUGGGUAAAGAAGCACCGGCUAACUACGUG
rnacentral:rRNA from 1 species